rnacentral:rRNA from 1 species
UACGAAGGGUGCAAGCGUUAGUCGGAAUUACUGGGCGUAAAGCGUGCGUAGGCGGUUUUCUAAGUCUGCCGUGAAAGCCCCGGGCUCAACCUGGGAAUGGCGAUGGAUACUGGCGAGCUAGAGUACGGUAGAGGAGAGUGGAAUUCCCGGUGUAGCAGUGAAAUGCGUAGAGAUCGGGAGGAACAUCAGUUGCGAAGGCGGCUCUCUGGACCAGUACUGACGCUGAGGCACGAAAGCGUGGGGAGCAAACAGG